AAAAAAGUAAGACUAGAGCCUUCGUUGAGAAGAAUAAAAAACCCAGUUGAAGCAAGUGCAAGCGUGGUGGUCUAGUGGUAAGAAGAAAGUGUUGCAAGUGUGUGAAGCCAGGUUCGAUGCUGAUUGUGCCACGUGCAUUUUAAUGUCGGGUGCCGUUGUUAAAUAAUUCCACCCGAGAGACGAAAGAGUUAAGUAAAAUAAAAAAGAAGAUAAAGUAAGUGUAGGCGAGAUGGUCUAGUGGUAAAGACGAAGUGUAGCAAGUGCGUGAAGCCAGGUUCGAUUCCUGGUUGUGUCAGGAGCAUUUUAGUGCCUGGUGUCCUCGUUCAUUAUCCCACCCGAGUGGAGAAAGGGUUAAGUAGAAUAAGAAAGGAUUUAAAAUAACUGUGGUCGAGAUGGCCUAGUGGUAAGGGAACGUGCUGCAUGUGGGGGAGGACAGGUUCGAG
rnacentral:lncRNA from 1 species